CGCACUAUCUGGCGAAGCCGCAGCCAAGGGAGCGGGCGUGGGACAAUCAGCGGGGAAAGAAGACCCUGUUGAGCUUGACUCUAGUCCGACGUUGUGAAAUGACUUAUGAGGUGUAGAAUAUGUGGGAGCUUCGGCAACAGUGAAAUACCACAACUCGUAAUGUUGUUUUACUUAUUCUGUGACGUAU
rnacentral:rRNA from 1 species